CAGUCAUCCAGGCCUCUUGUGUUGAUGUUCUCAUGGUGUUCCUUGACCCAUGUGAGGGAGCAGCAAGUGCCCAAGGGCUGGGUGAGCCUGGCAGCUUCUCCUCUGCACCCCUGAUCCAAUGCCAGGGGAAGCAGCAAUUCUCCCUGGACAGGGAGGUGGUUCUUUGUCAUCUGGCUGUGGUUCCAGACCCCAAGGCAGGAGCUCUGAAAUUAUCUGGAGUCCUGAUCAGCACUAAUGAUGGAUGAUUUGGAAGGUGAUGCAGGAAAGAGACCUGAAAUCUUUAGCAUUCGUCCACGUUCUGUGAAGAUCUGUGAGAAGUGCUGCUCCCAGUGUGGGUGCAGAAAACCAAGUCCAUUUCCAGCCUCAGGAGAUCCUGUGGGGGAGAGGAACCCCAGAGGGGCCCUGACAGCAGAGCUCUGCCAGAGCUGAGAGAGGCUCAGAGCUAAGCCUUGCUUGGAGCAGGACAACAUGGAUGGAAGAUGUAAAAAUCACAAUGAAUAUUUUUAUUUAUUUAUUUUUUUUUGUAACCUUGCAAACUGAAGUCAACACAGCAUGUUGAGCGUGGGCAGGAACCUCCUCUUCCCAUCUCAAAACACCAAAAAAAACCCCCAUAAAAAUGGAAAAAACAUCUAC